GAUGAACGCUGGCGGCGUGCCUAAUACAUGCAAGUCGAGCGAACAGAUGAGGAGCUUGCUCCUCUGACGUUAGCGGCGGACGGGUGAGUAACACGUGGAUAACCUACCUAUAAGACUGGGAUAACUUCGGGAAACCGGAGCUAAUACCGGAUAAUAUAUUGAACCGCAUGGUUCAAUAGUGAAAGACGGUUUUGCUGUCACUUAUAGAUGGAUCCGCGCCGCAUUAGCUAGUUGGUAAGGUAACGGCUUACCAAGGCAACGAUGCGUAGCCGACCUGAGAGGGUGAUCGGCCACACUGGAACUGAGACACGGUCGAGACUCCUACGGGAGGCAGCAGUAGGGAAUCUUCCGCAAUGGGCGAAAGCCUGACGGAGCAACGCCGCGUGAGUGAUGAAGGUCUUCGGAUCGUAAAACUCUGUUAUUAGGGAAGAACAAAUGUGUAAGUAACUAUGUACGUCUUGACGGUACCUAAUCAGAAAGCCACGGCUAACUACGUG
rnacentral:rRNA from 1 species